GAUGAACGCUGGCGGCGUGCCUAAUACAUGCAAGCCGAGCGAACGGACGAGAAGCUUGCUUCUCUGAUGUUAGCGACGGACGGGUGAGUCACACGUGGAUAACCUACCUAUAAGACUGGGAUAACUUCGGGAAACCGGAGCUAAUACCGGAUAAUAUUUUGAACCGCAUGGUUCAAAAGUGAAAGACGGUCUUGCUGUCCCUUAUAGAUGGAUCCGCGCUGCAUUAGCUAGUUGGUAAGGUAACGGCUUACCAAGGCGACGAUGCAUAGCCGACCUGAGAGGGUGAUCGGCCACACUGGAACUGAGACACGGUCCAGACUCCUACGGGAGGCAGCAGUAGGGAAUCUUCGGCAAUGGGCGAAAGCCUGACGGAGCAACGCCGCGUGAGUGAUGAAGGUCUUCGGAUCGUAAAGCUCUGUUAGUAGGGAAGAACAGAUGUGUAAGUAACUGUGCACAUCUUGACGGUACCUAAUCAGAAAGCCACGGCUAACUACGUG
rnacentral:rRNA from 1 species